AACGCACGAGACCUGCGGACCUGCGGAAGGAUCAUUAUCGAGUUACUCAACUCCCAAAACCCUGUGAACUUUACCACUGUUGCUUCGGCGGAGUCGUCCCGGGUGCGCUCGAAAGGGCGUGUCCCGGAUCCAUGGCGCCCGCCGGGGGACCUAAACUCUUGUUUUUAUAAUGGUAUCUUCUGAGUGGCAUAAGCAAAAUAAAUCAAAACUUUUAGCAAUGGAUCUCUAGAUCGGAAGAGC
rnacentral:misc_RNA from 1 species